GCCCUUAGAGUUUGAUCCUGGCUCAGGAUGAACGCUGGCGGUAUGCUUAACACAUGCAAGUCGAACGCUAGUAGAAAUACUAGAGUGGCGGACGGGUGAGUAACGCGUGAGAAUCUAGCUUCAGGUCGGGGACAACAGAGGGAAACCGCUGCUAAUACCGGAUAUGCCGAAAGGUGAAAGAUUAAUUGCCUGAAGAUGAGCUCGCGUCUGAUUAGCUAGUUGGAGAGGUAAAAGCUCACCAAGGCGACGAUCAGUAGCUGGUCUGAGAGGACGAUCAGCCACACUGGGACUGAGACACGGCCCAGACUCCUACGGGAGGCAGCAGUGGGGAAUUUUCCGCAAUGGGCGAAAGCCUGACGGAGCAAUACCGCGUGAGGGAGGAAGGCUCUUGGGUUGUAAACCUCUUUUCUUAGGGAAGAAGCACUGACGGUACCUAAGGAAUAAGCAUCGGCUAACUCCGUGCCAGCAGCCGCGGUAAUACGGAGGAUGCAAGCGUUAUCCGGAAUUAUUGGGCGUAAAGCGUCCGUAGGUGGCAGUUCAAGUCCGCUGUUAAAGGCUGGGGCUUAACCCCAGACAGGCAGUGGAAACUGAACAGCUAGAGUGUGGUAGGGGUAGAGGGAAUUCCCGGUGUAGCGGUGAAAUGCGUAGAUAUCGGGAAGAACACCGGUGGCGAAAGCGCUCUGCUGGACCACAACUGCCCCUGGGGGACGAAAGCUAGGGGAGCGAAUGGGAUUAGAUACCCCAGUAGUCCUAGCCGUAAACGAUGGAUACUAGGUGUUGUGAGUAUCGACCCUCACAGGUGCCGCAGCUAACGCGCUAAGUAUCCCGCCUGGGGAGUACGCACGCAAAGUGUGAAACUCAAAGGAAUUGACGGGGGCCCGCACAAGGCGGUGGAGUAUGUGGUUUAAUUCGAUGCAACGCGAAGAACCUUACCAGGGCUUGACAUGUCCGGAAUCCUCUUGAAAGGGAGGGGUGCCUUCGGGAACCGGAACACCAGGUGGUGCAUGGCUGUCGUCAGCUCGUGUCGUGAGAUGUUGGGUUAAGUCCCGCAACGAGCGCAACCCUCGUUUUUAGUUGCCAUCAUUAAGUUGGGCACUCUGAAGAGACUGCCGGUGACAAACCGGAGGAAGGUGGGGAUGACGUCAAGUCAGCAUGCCCCUUACGUCCUGGGCUACACACGUACUACAAUGCUACGGACAAAGGGCAGCAAGCAGGCGACUGCAAGCUAAUCCCAUAAACCGUGGCUCAGUUCAGAUCGCAGGCUGCAACUCGCCUGCGUGAAGGCGGAAUCGCUAGUAAUCGCAGGUCAGCAUACUGCGGUGAAUACGUUCCCGGGCCUUGUACACACCGCCCGUCACACCAUGGGAGCUGGCCAUGCCCGAAGUCGUUACUCCAACCCGUAAGGGAGGAGGACGCCGAAGGUGGGGCUGGUGACUGGGGUGAAGUCGUAACAAGGUAGCCGUACCGGAAGGUGUGGCUGGAUCACCUCCUUUUUAGGGAGACCUGCUUCGUCUUGACCGAAAUCAAGUAAAUAGGUCAGAUGCAAGUUAUCCCAGGUCGGACGAGAAUUAGUGUAGGCUUUCAAACUAUUGAUGGGUUUCGGAACAUGGGCUAUUAGCUCAGGUGGUUAGAGCGCACCCCUGAUAAGGGUGAGGUCCCUGGUUCGAGUCCAGGAUGGCCCACCUCUACUUCCUUUGGUAAACAGCCGUAAAAAUUUGUGGCUUUUUCCCAAGUAGGGAGAAAACAGAAAAAAACAAAGAAAUCUCAGAAAAUUCUUAGUGUUCACAGAUAAUGUGAUAGCCUAGAUAAAGUGAGUAAAAGAGUACAGCAACUGCACCAAUCAAAAAGUGGUCAGCCUGCUGGAUGUCUUACCAGCCAGAACCUUGAAAACUGCAUAGCAACGUUAAAAAGAAAGUCAGUUCUAAGUAGCCCUUUGAAUAGAAGAGCUUUUUAGAACCGGCCGGUGAACACCAAAUGUUUGUGGUCAAGCUACAAAGGCUUACGGUGGAUACCUAGGCACACAGAGGCGAAGAAGGGC
rnacentral:rRNA from 1 species